rnacentral:rRNA from 1 species
UGGCUCAGGACGAACGCUGGCGGCGCGCCUAACACAUGCAAGUCGAACGAGAGAUGAAGAGCUUGCUCUUCAAAUCGAGUGGCGAACGGGUGAGUAACGCGUGAGGAACCUGCCUCAAAGAGGGGGACAACAGUUGGAAACGACUGCUAAUACCGCAUAAGCCCACGGCUCGGCAUCGAGCAGAGGGAAAAGGAGUGAUCCGCUUUGAGAUGGCCUCGCGUCCGAUUAGCUAGUUGGUGAGGUAACGGCCCACCAAGGCGACGAUCGGUAGCCGGACUGAGAGGUUGAACGGCCACAUUGGGACUGAGACACGGCCCAGACUCCUACGGGAGGCAGCAGUGGGGAAUAUUGCACAAUGGGGGAAACCCUGAUGCAGCGACGCCGCGUGGAGGAAGAAGGUCUUCGGAUUGUAAACCCCUGUUGUUGAGGAAGAUAAUGACGGUACUCAACAAGGAAGUGACGGCUAACUACGUG